UGGGGAAUAUUGCACAAUGGGCGCAAGCCUGAUGCAGCCAUGCCGCGUGUAUGAAGAAGGCCUUCGGGUUGUAAAGUACUUUCAGCGGGGAGGAAGGUGUUGAGGUUAAUAACCUCAGCAAUUGACGUUACCCGCAGAAGAAGCACCGGCUAACUCCGUGCCAGCAGCCGCGGUAAUACGGAGGGUGCAAGCGUUAAUCGGAAUUACUGGGCGUAAAGCGCACGCAGGCGGUCUGUCAAGUCGGAUGUGAAAUCCCCGGGCUCAACCUGGGAACUGCAUUCGAAACUGGCAGGCUAGAGUCUUGUAGAGGGGGGUAGAAUGCCAGGUGUAGCGGUGAAAUGCGUAGAGAUCUGGAGGAAUACCGGUGGCGAAGGCGGCCCCCUGGACAAAGACUGACGCUCAGGUGCGAAAGCGUGGGGAGCAAACA
rnacentral:rRNA from 1 species